GUUUCCUAUUUUGCAUGGGAGAUAUGUCGCGGGCGGAGGAUUUGUGGGAGCGGUUGGUACGGGCUGCGCUACGGAGGGAAAGGACGGGGACUGAUGCUUAUGGGCGGCCUGUUACUGGCAUUGCUGGGAAUGUUCCCUCUUCGCUUGCUCAAAAUAGGGACAUAGAUGCAAUUUUAAGAGCUGCAGAUGAAAUUCAAGAUGAGGACCCAAAUGUCUCUAGAAUCUUAUGUGAGCAUGCUUAUUCCUUGUCUCAAAAUUUGGAUCCUAAUAGCGAGGGAAGAGGUGUUUUACAGUUCAAGACUGGCUUGAUGUCAGUUAUAAAGCAAAAGCUUGCUAAGAGAGAGGGUGGAACCAUAGACAGAAGCCAGGACAUUGCCCGCUUAAAAGAGUUUUAUAAACACUAUAGAGAGAAGAAUAACGUAGACGAGUUACGAGAGGAGGAAAUGCAGCUGAGAGAGUCUGGUGUUUUCAGCGGUAACCUUGGAGAGUUGGAGCGUAAAACUGUGAAGCGGAAAAGAGUUUUUGCAACACUAAAAGUUUUAGGGACGGUACUGGUGGAGCUGACUAGGGAGGUAUCUCCUGAAGAUGCAGAAAGUUUAAUUCCGGAUGAGCUGAAACGCGUAAUCGAAUCAGAUGCAGCUAUGACGGAAGACCUUAUUGCUUAUAACAUUAUUCCAUUGGACACCCCCACUACUACAAAUGCCAUUGUGUCUUUGCCUGAGGUUCAAGCUUCAGUUUCCGCUUUGAAGUACUUCAGAGGCCUACCAAAAUUGCCGGAGAAUUUACCUAUACCUGCUAAAAGGAAUGCUGAUAUGCUUGACCUUCUGCAGUAUGUUUUUGGAUUUCAGAAAGACAAUGUUUCUAACCAGCGGGAACAUGUAGUUCACCUCCUUGCAAAUGAGCAAACUCGCCUGGGUAUUCCUGAUGUGCCUGAACCGAAAUUGGAUGAGGCUGCUGUGCAGAAAGUAUUUCUGAAGUCUCUGGACAACUACAUUAAGUGGUGUGACUAUUUGGGCAUUCAACCAGUAUGGAGCAGUUUGGAUGCUGUUGGCAAGGAGAAGAAGUUAUUAUUUAUUUCUUUGUAUUUUCUCAUUUGGGGUGAAGCUGCAAACAUUAGAUUUCUUCCGGAAUGCUUGUGCUACAUAUUUCAUCACAUGGUAAGGGAACUUGAUGAAAUACUGCGGCAGGAGAGGCAGCAGGAGAUUGCUCAGCCAGCCAAUAGUUGCAAAACUGAGAAUGGGGUGUCCUUCCAUGAUCAAGUCAUAUGCCCUUUAUAUGAGGUUGUCGCUGCGGAAGCGGCAAACAACGAUAACGGGAGAGCACCGCAUUCUGCAUGGAGAAAUUAUGAUGAUUUCAAUGAGUAUUUUUGGUCCCUUCAUUGCUUUGAACUUAGUUGGCCAUGGCGCCUGAGUUCACCCUUUUUUCUUAUACCAACUCCAAGAUCGAAGAAUGUGCUUAAAGCUGGCAGCAGUAAACGUCAAGGGAAAACUUCGUUUGUUGAGCACCGGACAUUUUUUCAUCUUUACCAUAGCUUCCACCGUUUGUGGAUAUUCCUUGUCAUGAUGUUUCAGGGACUCACCAUUAUUGCAUUCAACAAGGGAAAUAUUGGUGCAAAGACCAUUCGGGAAGUUCUUAGUCUAGGUCCAACAUUUGUUGUCAUGAAGUUGUUGGAGAGUGUUCUGGACGUUGUUAUGAUGUAUGGUGCAUAUUCCACAUCACGCCGCUUAGCUGUGACACGGAUUUUUCUCCGUUUCAUUUGGUUUACUACAGCUUCAGUCAUCAUAUGGUUUCUUUAUGUGAAAGCUCUGCAAGAGCAGAGUAAAUCAAAUCAGGUUUCUGUGGUAUACAAAAUUUAUAUAAUGGUUCUCUGCAUCUAUGCUGGUAUCGAAAUUUUCAUUAGCUUCCUAUUGCGAAUCCCGGCCUUUCACCGUUUGGCCAAUCAAUGUGAUCAUUGGCCUCUAAUUCGUUUUAUCAAGUGGAUGCACCAGGAGCAUUACUAUGUUGGCCGUGGCAUGUAUGAGAGGACGUCUGAUUAUAUCAAGUAUGCGAUCUUCUGGCUUUUUCUAUUGGGUUUGAAAUUUUCCUUUGCCUAUUUCCUUUUGAUCAAGCCCUUGGUAGAGCCAACACAGCUUAUUGUGAAGAUGACUAAUUUGACUUAUUCUUGGCAUGAUCUUGUGUCUAAACAUAAUCAUAAUGCUUUGACGGUUGCUAGCUUGUGGGCACCAGUUAUUGCUAUCUAUCUCCUAGAUAUCUACAUCUUUUACACCGUUCUAUCUGCUGUGUGCGGAUUCUUGCUUGGGGCUAGGGAUCGUCUUGGGGAGAUUAGAUCCUUGGGGGCUGUCCACAAACUAUUUGAGAAGUUUCCUGAGGCUUUUAUGGAUUCUUUGCAUGUUCCUCUUCCCAACAGGACUAUCCUUCCCUCCAAUGGCCGUGUUUUGGAGAAGAACAAGGCAGAUGCUGCUCGAUUUUCUCCAUUCUGGAACGAGAUUAUAAAAAAUCUACGCGAAGAAGAUUAUGUUACAACUUCGGAAAGGGAGUUGCUUUUGAUGCCAAGGAACACUGGGAACUUACCGUUGGUUCAGUGGCCCCUUUUCCUUCUUGCCAGCAAGAUAUUUCUUGCUAAAGAUAUUGCCUUAGAGAGUAGAGAUUCACUAGAAGAAUUGUGGGAUAGGAUCUCGAGGGAUGACCAUAUGAAAUAUGCAGUUGAGGAAUGCUAUUGUGCUGUAAGGCUUGUUCUGACAGCCAUCUUGGAUGAUGAAGGAAAUAUGUGGGUUGAAAGAAUAUAUGAACACAUUGAAGCGAGUAUAGCAAAGAGGACUUUUUUAUUGGAUUUCCAUGUGGAUAAGCUGGCACUGGUGAUCUCGAGAGUCACUGCACUUAUGGGAAUUCUGAAAGAGGCAGAAAAACCAGAUCUGCAUAAUGGUGCAGUCAAAGCUAUGCAAGAUCUCUAUGAUGUUGUUCACUAUGAUGUCCUUUCUGUCAACAUGAGAGAACACUAUGAGACUUGGAGUAUCUUGUCAAAAGCAAGGAAUGAAGGUCGUAUUUUUUCAAAUUUAAAGUGGCCACAAGAUGUUGAACUGGUGGCACUAGUCAAAAGACUCUAUUCACUUUUGACUAUCAAAGAUUCAGCCGCAAAUGUUCCCAGGAAUCUUGAGGCCAGGAGGAGGUUGGAAUUCUUUACAAAUUCCCUUUUCAUGAAUAUGCCCCCUGCUAAACCGGUUCGUGAGAUGUUAUCGUUCAGCGUGUUUACUCCUUAUUACUCCGAGGUGGUUCUCUAUAGUCUUGCUGAACUUCAAAAGAAAAAUGAAGAUGGUAUAUCGAUUUUGUUUUACCUCCAAAAGAUAUAUCCAGAUGAGUGGAGAAACUUUCUUGCUCGGAUUGGUCGCGAUGAAAAUUCGGUAGACUCAGAGCUUUUUGAUUCUCCCAGUGAUAUUCUUGAAUUGCGGUUUUGGGCUUCAUACCGGGGACAAACAUUGGCUCGAACCGUUCGUGGAAUGAUGUACUACAGAAAAGCUUUGAUGCUUCAAACAUAUCUGGAAAGGACGACUGCUGGAGAUAUGGAAGCUGCAGUUUCUAGUAAAGAUGCACCUGAUACUCAGGGUUUUGAGUUAUCUCCUGAGGCACGAGCACAUGCAGAUUUGAAAUUCACAUAUGUUGUUACAUGUCAGAUAUAUGGGAAACAGAAAGAAGAAAACAAACCUGAGGCUGCAGACAUUGCAUUGCUAAUGCAGAGAAAUGAAGCUCUUCGAGUUGCUUUUAUUGACGUGGUUGAGACUUUAAAGGAUGGUAGAGUGCACACGGAAUACUAUUCCAAACUUGUGAAAGCUGACAUCAAUGGCAAAGACAAGGAAAUUUACUCCAUAAAGCUUCCUGGAGAUCCUAAACUUGGUGAAGGGAAGCCCGAAAAUCAGAACCAUGCUGUCAUAUUUACUCGUGGAAAUGCAGUGCAGACAAUUGACAUGAAUCAGGAUAAUUAUUUCGAGGAAGCUUUGAAGAUAAGAAAUCUUCUUGAAGAAUUACAUUGCGACCAUGGCAUUCGCCCAGCUACCAUUCUUGGCGUAAGGGAACAUGUUUUUACUGGAAGUGUCUCAUCUUUAGCCUCUUUCAUGUCCAAUCAAGAAAGUAGUUUUGUAACACUUGGUCAGCGAGUUCUGGCAAAGCCGUUAAAGGUCCGUAUGCACUAUGGUCAUCCAGAUGUAUUCGAUAGAGUUUUCCAUAUAACCCGCGGUGGCAUCAGCAAAGCCUCUCGUGUAAUCAAUAUCAGUGAAGAUAUUUUUUCAGGGUUCAAUUCGACUUUGCGUCAGGGAAAUAUUACUCACCACGAAUACAUUCAGGUUGGUAAGGGACGAGAUGUCGGGCUCAAUCAAAUUGCCUUGUUUGAAGGGAAAGUUGCUGGUGGUAAUGGUGAACAAGUUCUUAGUCGAGAUGUUUACAGACUUGGGCAGCUUUUUGAUUUCUUCCGAAUGAUGUCAUUCUACUUUACUACUGUUGGAUACUAUUUUUGCACUAUGUUAACUGUGCUGACUGUGUACAUUUUCCUCUAUGGGAAGGCAUAUUUAGCGUUAUCUGGAGUUGGUGAAGAUGUACAAUCAAGAGCUGAAGUUAUGGAUAAUGCUGCUCUGAAUGCUGCUCUGAAUGCACAGUUUCUCUUUCAAAUUGGUGUUUUCACCGCUGUGCCAAUGAUCUUGGGUUUCAUUUUGGAACAGGGAUUUCUCAGGGCUGUUGUUAGUUUUGUCACUAUGCAGCUUCAGCUCUGUACUGUCUUCUUCACAUUCUCCCUGGGCACAAGAACACAUUAUUUCGGUCGCACUAUUCUCCAUGGUGGAGCAAGGUAUCAAGCAACUGGUAGGGGAUUUGUGGUUCGUCAUAUUAGAUUUGCAGAGAAUUACAGGCUGUACUCCCGCAGUCAUUUUGUUAAAGGAUUGGAAGUUGUGCUUUUGUUGGUAGUAUUCCUUGCAUAUGGAUAUAAUCAAGGCGGAGCACUCUCCUACAUUCUUCUUUCACUUAGCAGUUGGUUCAUGGCUCUUUCUUGGCUUUUUGCUCCGUAUUUGUUUAACCCUUCCGGGUUUGAGUGGCAGAAGACAGUAGAGGACUUCAGAGACUGGACAAAUUGGCUUCUUUAUAGAGGUGGAAUUGGAGUGAAGGGACAAGAAAGCUGGGAAGCUUGGUGGGAUGAAGAACUGGCACAUAUUCGAACAUUUUCAGGGAGGGUGAUGGAGACUAUUCUGAGCCUCAGAUUUUUCAUCUUCCAGUAUGGCGUUGUCUACAAGCUUCAUUUACAAGGAACAGAGACAUCCUUGUCGGUGUAUGGCUUCUCGUGGAUUGUGCUGGCAGUGCUCAUAAUUCUUUUCAAGGUAUUCACAUUCAGCCAGAAGAUAUCCGUUAAUUUUCAGCUGCUGCUGCGCUUUAUCCAAGGGCUUUCCUUCUUACUUGUACUGGCCGGUUUGAUUGUUGCUGUAAUAUUAACGGAUCUAUCAGUUGCGGAUAUUUUUGCUUCCAUCUUGGCAUUUGUUCCCACUGGGUGGGGAAUUCUAUCCGCUGUGUAAUCAUCGUCCUCAGGCUGUCUCCUCUUGUCUCGAGGACAAUAACUACACAGGCAGCAAAUGCUGACUCCAGACAGGUUAUGUUCAAGUUCAUUACUGCGUACAUGUUUAUGAAGCCACCAAACGCUCAAGAAGUCAUUAUCUAUUCCCUCCCGUCUUUAUGAAUUAUACAAUCUUAAUUUUAGCAGCCCAUUAUGGAGGUUUCAACUCCAUGGAAAUUGCAUCAUAGGUCUCUUCUUUUGUGUGCCUCGUCUAAACCUCGGACAACUAUGUUUUAAGUUCCCCCGUUGUGGUUCUAGGUAAAAAUUAAGAGUUAAAAGGGUCAAAAGACUCAAAGCCGACAACUAAUCUGAGCAGUCAAGUGGGUAUUUUGCUCGGGCUCAUAUUAAUCCUGUCGGGGGUCCGUUCUUCAGAAUGUUAGAAUUCUCUCUGUUGUGCCCUUGGCUCACUUGGUCUUCACUUUGGUAACUCGUUGUGGACUUCUGAGUUUCCAACCCCAAUUUUCAUGUGAACGGCUAUAGUGACUUACAACCGCACAAACAGAUUAGAAUCCACCAAAACCAUGUUAAGAGACAUAACAACUGCAAGUUGGGAGGGCAUAAAUUUGUACAAUUCAGCACUUAUCAAGUUUUUAGACUUUUGAAGCAACAUUUCUAGGUGUAAAAAUAAGCGCUGUCAGUUCCUUUAGCAAGUUCAAUUGCAUUGCACGGUUAGUACCAUCUAAUUUCAGUGAGAUGCAAUGCAACCUCAGGAGUGAAUCCGGGAAGAAAAAAUAAUGAACUUUUAGUCUUCGUUUUACAUAUGCUUAUUCUAUUCGUCUUGUUUUCGAUCCAUAAAUUCCUGACUUUGUGUUCUGUGACAUUAACUGUUAAUGAUUUCCAGAUUGCUGCGGCUUGGAAGCCUCUGA